rnacentral:tmRNA from 1 species
GGGGGUGAACGGUCUCGACGGGGGUCGUCGAAGGCAGGGUUGCGCGCCGAGGUGCGGGUGGCCUCGUAAAAACCCGCAAACCGAUAACUGCCAACUCUGGCUACGCUCUCGCGGCUUAAUGACCGCGACCUCGCCCGGUAGCCCUGCCGGGGGCUCACCGGAUGCGGGGACACAAACCCGGCUAGCCUGGGGCCACGCCCCCUAACCCCAGGCGAAGCGCAAGGGGGCUCGCCCCUGGCCGCCCGCCCCUAGGCCAAGCCAGGGGGACACCUGAAGGUGGGGCUACGCGCGUAGAGGCCCGCCGUAGGGACCUUCGGACGGGGGUUCAACUCCCCCCACCUCCACCA